rnacentral:rRNA from 1 species
AUUGAACGCUGGCGGCAGGCCUAACACAUGCAAGUCGAACGAGUGGCGGACGGGUGAGUAAUGUCUGGGAAACUGCCUGAUGGAGGGGGAUAACUACUGGAAACGGUAGCUAAUACCGCAUACCAUCAGAUGUGCCCAGAUGGGAUGAGCUAGUAGGUGGGGUGAUGGCUCACCUAGGCGACUAUCCCUAGCGGGUCUGAGAGGAUGACCAGCCACACGGGAACGGAGACACGGUCCAGACUCCUAGGGGAGGCAGGAGGGGGGAAUAUUGCACAAUGGGCGCAAGCCUGAUGCAGCCAUGCCGCGUGUAUGAAGAAGGCCUUCGGGUUGUAAAGUACUUUCAGCGAGGAGGCGUUACUCGCAGAAGAAGCACCGGCUAACUCCGUGCCAGCAGCCGCGGUAAUC